CAGCCGCCGCGGGAAUACGUAGGGUGCAAGCGUUAAUCGGAAUUACUGGGCGUAAAGCGUGCGCAGGCGGUUUUGUAAGACAGAGGUGAAAUCCCCGGGCUCAACCUGGGAACUGCCUUUGUGACUGCAAGGCUAGAGUACGGCAGAGGGGGAUGGAAUUCCGCGUGUAGCAGUGAAAUGCGUAGAUAUGCGGAGGAACACCGAUGGCGAAGGCAAUCCCCUGGGCCUGUACUGACGCUCAUGCACGAAAGCGUGGGGAGCAAACAGGAUUAGAUACCCCCGUAGUCCCUGUCUCUUAUAC
rnacentral:rRNA from 1 species